rnacentral:rRNA from 1 species
ACUAGGGAUCGGNCGAUCGUUAUCUUUUUGACUCGCUCGGCACCUUACGAGAAAUCAAAGUCUUUGGGUUCUGGGGGAGGUAUGGUCGCAAGGCUGAAACUUAAAGAAAUUGACGGAAGGGCACCACCAGGAGUAGGANCCUGCGGCUUAAUUUGACUCAACACGGGGAAACUCACCAGGUCCAGACACAAUAAGGAUUGACAGAUUGAGAGCUCUUUCUUGAUUAUGUGG